rnacentral:rRNA from 1 species
UACGUAGGGUGCAAGCGUUUGUCCGGAAUUAUUGGGCGUAAAGAGCUCGUAGGCGGUUUGUCGCGUCUGCUGUGAAAACUCAGGGCUUAACUCUGAGCUUGCAGUGGGUACGGGCAGACUAGAGUGCGGUAGGGGAGACUGGAAUUCCUGGUGUAGCGGUGAAAUGCGCAGAUAUCAGGAGGAACACCGGUGGCGAAGGCGGAUCUCUGGGCCUGUUCUGACGCUGAGGCGCGAAAGCCUAGGGGGAGCGAACAGG